rnacentral:SRP_RNA from 1 species
GCCGAGCACAGUGGCACACUCCUGUAGUCCUAGCUACUCCGGAGGCUGAGGCAGGAGGAUAGCUUGACCCAGGAGUUCUGGGCUGCAGUGCACUAUGCCGAUCGGGUGUCCACACUAAGUUCAGCUGAAUAUGAUGACUUCCCUGGAGCAGGGGACCACCAGGUUGCCUAAGGAGGGGUGAGCUGGCCCAGGUCAGAAACAGAGCAGGUCAAAACUCCCUGUGCUGAUUAGUAGUGGGAUGGCUCCUGUGAAUAGCCACAGCACUCCAGCCUGGGCAACACAGCGAGACCCCGUCACU